AGAAAGGGCCCUGAGGUCUGAGUACUCACAUGCUUGCUUCUCCACCCCACGCUGGCUUUACCCACUGGCAGCUACUGAUUCAUGGCAUCCCAGAAGUUCGAGUCUGAAGACUGAGUGUAAAUUCCUAAACAUUUUUUUCUUUAAACCAUGUUAUCAGUCCAUUUCUUCUGUCAUUGGGAGGAUGGGACGGGGGGACUACGCACAGCACCUGGUGGAGAUGUUGGUGGCAUGAAGUCAGAUGGCAAAUCUAACUUGUAAAGUGGGGUGUGAGUACAGGGGCUUGCCGUUCUCGUGAGCCUCAACUCUUUUUCCUCUCCGCAGUUGAGAGACUGUCAAAGGAAAAAUAUCUUGGGGUCUCCUGCAGGAGUUAAGAAAAAGAAGAAACAUGGCAGUAGGCCAGAGACAACCACUUCUGGUGGCUAUGAGUCAUCGAAAGGUGUAAGUCUUGCUCAGCAAGGCUUCCUGGGAGAGGAGUUGCUCCAGGGCAGCUGAGUGAGAAGUGAAGAGCAUGAAAAAAGUGGUCCCAUCAGAGCAUGGAGGUGACCGGCUCACUCCAAAUGGAGCAGCACACCAAGAGCGAGCUGGCCAAGAAACUGGCUUCCAAGAGCGAGAUGGCCAGCUACAGGAGAAGCUGGCAGAGCUGAAGGAGCUGGUGGAGGAGAAACAUCAAGAAGCUGAGUAGCUGCAGCAGCAGUGGGACCAGGACCUUAGUCACCUUCAGCAGUACAUAGCCGCCUACCAGCAGCUCAUGACCGUCUACCAGCAGCUGGCCAAUGAGAAGGACAUCCCGCAGAAGCGGGUGCUGCUUAACACCCAGCUUGUCAACCGGAUGCAGCACGAAGAGCAGGGCAAGAUGGAGGGCCGCCUGAAGGCUGGCAGCAAGCAGAACCAGCAGCUGCAGGCCCCACUGAACCUCAUGGCUUGGACUGGAGAAAGUGAGUGGGACUUCAGCAGAGGAGGGGUUUGCAAGAGUGGAAGCCACCUGUAAAGGCCAGGAAGACCACAGAGCAGGUUUUCUGAUCCAGCAGACCAGGACAACUUGGAUCCUUCCCCUUUGGAGACUUCCUGGCGCAGGGCUGCACAGAGAGGAAGGGGCAGAGCUUCCUGGCUUUCAGGGCUACUUCAGAACACAGAGGUUCUCUGAGCUUCUCAGGCGUGGCUGCACAGGCAGCUAAAAGAGCAAAAGCUGCUCUGCCAGUGCCUGGCUCAGCAGGCAGCCCCAUGGGACCAGGAGCCCGAGAAGAUGGAGAUCCUGGGCCCCGGGGGGAAAGUGUGCCUGGGGAGACCCACCAGGCCCUUCAGGGAGCCAUGGAGAAACUGCAGGGCCGCUUUACCGAGCUCAUGCAGGAGAAAGUAGAAUUACAGGAGCAGAUUGAAGAGCUGGAGCAUCAAUGUAUCCAGAUGUCUGGAGAGACAAACACCAUCGGUGAGUGGAGAGGCCGGUGCCCUGGGGCCAUGGUGCUAGCUGAGCUGCCUGCGCGCCCUCCCCCUAGGAGAAUACAUCAUUCUCUGCCAGAACCAGAGAGCAGUGAUGAGGGAGGAGCACUGAGAAGACAGAAGGCGGAGUCCAUAAUCCAGCUGGCCCAGGACAAAGAGGAGAUGAAGGUAGUCUGUGCUCUGGCUGGGGGCGGGGCGGGCUUCUGAGCAUCUCUGCUUCCAGGUGAAGCUGUUAGAGCUGUGAGUGCUGGUUUUGCGGCUGGUGGAGGAGCGAAAUGAAUGGCGGGUGAAGCUCCAAGCAGCUGACCAGAAUCCUGCUGCUGAGCCCACUAGCGCACCCCCGGCCCCCAAAGAGAACAGAGUGAUGUGAGCCUUGCCGUCAAUGUGCAGCUGACCCAGGGAGUAGCCCAGCUGGGUCAGACUCCUCUUGAGAACGCCUCCGCGCAGCAGAUCAUUCAGCUGCUUCAAGGAAUACAGAACCCCCAGGAACGCGUCACCACUGGAAACAUCCUGUGCAUUCCCUUCUACCAGGCUGAUGCCAACGAGGAGGUGAAGAUAAUGGUGGUCUAGGCCUCCGGUAUGGGGUGGGGGCUCUGCCCACACCUGGCCCUCACCAACCCAUCCCUGUUGCCCAGGCUUUCCCACCCUGUCCUUUGGCUCUCCUUCCCAGUCGUCCUUUCAUCCCUCGGCUUAAAAAAGAUUAACAACAACUCCCCUACGUAAUAGGGGGAAACAGGUGCAGACCCUAGCCUCUUAGGUCAGGGCUGUGUCUUAAUCUCUGGACUAAUCAAACUUCCAGAGACAAGGAGCUAGAAACAUCCAGCUAGUUAUUUAAGGGGCUCCCCUCUACAACAUAGGGGCUCCUUGAUGACCAAUUGAAUCCUUACCAGGCCUUCCUGCAGAGGGCCUAGGUUAUAUCAGGCAAUUUGGGGCCACAUGCCCCCGAUCCCAUACCAACCAUGUAGAGAGGGGCAGCACUUUGAAGGCCCUGCACAGGGGCUAAGCCCAGACAGAGAUACCAGCUGGUGCAGGUGGGCACCAACAACUGUCUAGACUGUAGCCACAGAGAUAGCACUAGCUUAUUUGAGACCACCCAGAUCCACAAAGGGGUGGCCUCCACUUGCUGUCUUUACAAAAGUCCCAUGGGCCUCUGUGCCUGAUUAUCUUGGAGGCCACCCCGAUCUGCAGAGGGGUGGCCUUUGCUGCUGCUUUUACAAAAAGCCCCAUAGAGGGGAUGCAUGACUUAUUCAGGCAAUUUGGGGGUACACGUGUACUUCCCCAACCCUAUGGAAAACGGCUUGGCUCAGAAGCCGGGCGGCUGCGGCUAGUGGAGGCCAGGUGGAAGGCGCAUGGGCGCCCCGCGGUGUACAUACUGUGCUGUGACGUGUACAUCGGGGCUGAGACGGCCCCUGUAUCACAGCGGAGGCUGCGGUGGCCCCUGGGAGAGGAGGUUUCUAUGAAUCAUUUGAGCGGAAACUUAUUUAUUGAUCGCCCAGGACAGAUGAAGGAGGCAAGGACAGGGAGUGGUUCCUGGUGUUUCACUUUUAUGUCUGAAUAAACUGA